rnacentral:rRNA from 1 species
CGGGUGCGUAACGCGUAUGCAAUCUACCUUUAACUGGGGAAUAGCCUUCCGAAAGGAAGAUUAAUACCGCAUAAUAUAAUAGAGAGACAUCUCCCUGUUAUCAAAACUCAAGUGGUUAAAGAUGAGCAUGCGUGACAUUAGCUAGUUGGUAAGGUAACGGCUUACCAAGGCUACGAUGUCUAGGGGGUCUGAGAGGAUGAUCCCCCACACUGGUACUGAGACACGGACCAG